rnacentral:rRNA from 1 species
GCUACGGGAGGCAGCAGUGAGGAAUAUUGGUCAAUGGACGAGAGUCUGAACCAGCCAAGUAGCGUGAAGGAUGACUGCCCUAUGGGUUGUAAACUUCUUUUAUAAAGGAAUAAAACGAGGCACGUGUGCCUUUUUGCAUGUACUUUAUGAAUAAGGAUCGGCUAACUCCGUGCCAGCAGCCGCGGGAAUACGGAGGAUCCGCGCGUUAUCCGGAUUUAUUGGGUUUAAAGGGAGCGUAGAUGGGUUGUUAAGUCAGUUGUGAAAUUUUGCGGCUCAACCGUAAAAUUGCAAUUGAUACUGGCAGUCUUGAGUACAGUUGAGGUAGGCGGAAUUCGUGGUGUAGCGGUGAAAUGCUUAGAUAUCACGAAGAACCCCGAUUGCGAAGGCAGCUUACUAAACUGUGACUGACAUUGAUGCUCGAAAGUGUGGGUAUCAAACAGGAUUAGAUACCCUAGUAGUC